rnacentral:tRNA from 1 species
GCGGGCGUGGCGAAACGGCAGACGCGCCGGGUUUAGGUCCCGGUGGGGGCGACCCCGUGGAGGUUCGAGUCCUCCCGCCCGCA